GUUACGGCUAUGCAACGCCUAGGCGUAUUCUGUUCGGCACACCCCCACACCUGUUUGCGGGCCUAGAGAAAUUAUAUAUGUCAGCUGCACCAGAAAGUUUGGCCCAUGAUUUGUCGUUCGAAACAGCACAGGUCAGAGGAUCCACAUACAGCCGAGCUUACCGUGUGGAGUAGAACAGAGCCACGAGACACCUUUCGUUCCCCAUCCCCUUCUAUUCCCCACAAGCGAAGGGCGGCGACGGAUCUGCUCCGGCGAGAUGUCGACGGAUGGUGUCGAGCUCAAGGGGGGCGUUGCCGGGCCGGCGGGCUGCAGUGGUUCCGUCCUACCACUCGAGUCCCAAGAUUCUAUGAGUGCCGCCAUUGCCGGGGGUGGCGCAGACGGCAAAGAACAGCCAUGUGGAAAUGCAUCCUGAUAUGAGGUGCACUGUGAAGUCACGAGUGGCUGGACACGGAGAGUGGAGUUUCAGUGAGAGCUAAUCUGCCUAUCGAGAGGCGUGCCAAUUUGGCGAAAGUAAUGUUAUAUUUGGCGAAGUAAUGUUAUAUGCAGAGUGGAGUAAUGUUUACAUCGUGGAUGAUUUUUGUUCAAUUUGGCGAAGCUCUGUACAAAGCCGGUGCAUAUGUGCUGGACGAACUAGAACUGAAUAUCACACGUAUCACACAUAUCUUCGUUGUUUCGGUCGGUGAGGCUGUAUCACACGUCAAUUACUUGUGCUUUUCUCCUAGCUAUUGUUCAUCAGUUUCAGAUUUGAACUUAUUUGGUGAUUUUUAUUUUGUUCCAUCUAUUCCUUUGGUACGGAUGAUCUAUGGCUCGAUCGAGAUGCAUAUCACUUUUCUUGUUGACUCCAAAAUAGACUGCUCUCCUUUAUUUUCUUGUAAUUCCCUUCCAUCUAUUCCUUCUGUACAGAUGUGAUUUUCUUUUGUUUGCUUGUAAUCCCGUUUGUCCGGACUGGAUAGGGCUCUCCUCAUGUUGUUGCGCAGAUCUGAAUUUGCCGUGAUGUAUUUUUGGACAAUAUAGAGACAUUUUUAUUCAUACCCAUGCUUAUGUGCCAGACCGGCUUAAUUUUUGUGGUUUCUUAGAUUCCUCUAACUUGGAUAAUCGAUGGGUUUAUUGUUUGCGGGGUUUAAAGCAAUCGAUGGUUAAUCGUACUGGAACUUAAUAGUGGAUUUGAUGUUCUGUUCGUGAUGUGCUAAUCCAAGGUUGAUAGUUAUUUCAUUCAAGUGGGGUAAAGUUUGAAUUCCUACCACUGGUUGCAAAGAUCUUCUGUUCCAUGGAUUUCAGUUUGUUUUGUUGACCCUUUCCCACUACAGUCACAGACUUGAGCAACGUUGAUGGUCAAGUGUGCCGUGGCCGCGAGGCUACAUCCCUUGCCGGAAACGCUGGUUGGGGAGCUACAAGUGCCUGGACAAGAAGAACCAUGCUGAUAUGGUCUGUAUCCUGAACCCUGAAGUAGAAGGCGUUUAAUCAGAUGCAUUUUCCUACUGUUGUGAUCUUGUAAUAUUGCCUUGUGGCCAAAUCAGCAAAAUCCCUGGUUGAAGCUGCGCAAGCUCUGGCUGUUGUUCCCUGUCAGCAAUCCAUUCGACUCGGGUAUAUGUUUGUAAUUAUUGUAAUGGAUUUGUACCAUUUGUGAACCAUGUCAAAUUGUUAAGGUGGGUGAUGGGUAUUACAAUUAUGCAUGGUUGCUAGUUCUGUGCGUAGAACUUGAUCCGUGUAUUAGUCAAAACCAACACAUGUUGUGUGUUAGCUUAACAGGAAGAAACUGCAAUUGUCAAUGAGAGCAAGAUGUCGAGAAGGGAGAUGGCCCAGUAGUCUAAUGGUUUCUGUAACGGAGUGUUUUAAUCAUCUUCGUCUGGCAAACUAUUGUUAAUUGCUUUUCCCAA